UGCUUGGGUUUCUACAGUGAGUUCAUUUUAUCACAAACAGUGGAAUCCUGAAUUUUUUUUUAAGAUUAAAAUAAAAUGAACCCAGAAUCGAUAACUGUAUACGUGACCCCCAUCAGUUGGACUGUGAUGUUUUAAUUCAAAAGCAGACCAAAGAAAGUGACUCUACAGUACUCAAUCAUCCCUUAGAAGCCCAUAAGCCAGACAGCAACAAACAAGCAGUGCAGAAGACCACUUGAAGAUUUAGCGAUGGACCCAUCAGCUGCAAUGAGGGGGCUAUAUGAAGGCCGGCAGAGGUGGAAACAACACUGGUAGCCGUGAACAGUGGAGGGCAGUAAUGAGAGAGACUUCAUUGUGGAAGGAGAGGGAGAUGGAGGAGGAGCUGAAAGGGUUUCUUCUUGUUCAAUCUCUUUUUCCAACUUUAUUAAACCAGGUGGUU